GACGAACGCUGGCGGCGUGCCUAAUACAUGCAAGUUGAGCGAUGAAGAUUGGUGCUUGCACCAAUUUGAAGAGCAGCGAACGGGUGAGUAACGCGUGGGGAAUCUGCCUUUGAGCGGGGGACAACAUUUGGAAACGAAUGCUAAUACCGCAUAACAACUUUAAACAUAAGUUUUAAGUUUAAAAGAUGCAAUUGCAUCACUCAAAGAUGAUCCCGCGUUGUAUUAGCUAGUUGGUGAGGUAAAGGCUCACCAAGGCGAUGAUACAUAGCCGACCUGAGAGGGUGAUCGGCCACAUUGGGACUGAGACACGGCCCAAACUCCUACGGGAGGCAGCAGUAGGGAAUCUUCGGCAAUGGACGAAAGUCUGACCGAGCAACGCCGCGUGAGUGAAGAAGGUUUUCGGAUCGUAAAACUCUGUUGGUAGAGAAGAACGUUGGUGAGAGUGGAAAGCUCAUCAAGUGACGGUAACUACCCAGAAAGGGACGGCUAACUACGUG
rnacentral:rRNA from 1 species